rnacentral:lncRNA from 1 species
CCGCACUGGGGCACCCACUCCGAAGAAAAGAGCACCCCCAAAUGCCAGGCUACUUGGAGUCCAAUGGAGAUGCCUGCUUUUCAGGGUGGGCCUGCACUGCACAUUAUAGGGGUCACUCACUCUGGAGGAAGCCAGCUGCCAAGUCUUGAGGACACUCAAGCAGCCCUGUGGAGAAGCCCAGAGGGAGAGGAACCAAGGCCUCCUGCCAGCAGCAUCUUGGAAGCAGAUGCUCCAGCCCCGCUCAAGCCUUCAGAUAAUGGUAGCCUGGGCUGACAUCUUGACCUCACCUCAUGAGGGGACCUGAGCCAGAACCACCCAGAACCACCCAAAUCCUUGACUGACAGAAACUGUGAUAUAAUAAAUGUUCUUUUAAUCCA